rnacentral:rRNA from 1 species
CGGACGGAUGAGUAACACGUGGGUAACCUACCUAUAAGACUGGGACAACUUCGGGAAACCGGAGCUAAUACCGGAUAAGAUAUCGAACCGCAUGGUUCGAUAGUGAAAGAUGGUUUUGCUAUCACUUAUAGAUGGACCCGCGCCGUAUUAGCUAGUUGGUGAGGUAACGGCUCACCAAGGCAACGAUACGUAGCCGACCUGAGAGGGUGAUCGGCCACACUGGAACUGAGACACGGUCCAGACUCCUACGGGAGGCAGCAGCG